rnacentral:sRNA from 1 species
UGCUCGGCGCUAGCGCGAACUAUAUUGC